rnacentral:rRNA from 1 species
GAUGAACGCUGGCGGCGUGCCUAAUACAUGCAAGUCGAGCGAACAGACGAGGAGCUUGCUCCUCUGACGUUAGCGGCGGACGGGUGAGUAAAACGUGGAUAACCUACCUAUAAGACUGGGAUAACUUCGGGAAACCGGAGCUAAUACCGGAUAAUAUAUUGAACCGCAUGGUUCAAUAGUGAAAGACGGUUUUGCUGUCACUUAUAGAUGGAUCCGCGCCGCAUUAGCUAGUUGGUAAGGUAACGGCUUACCAAGGCGACGAUGCGUAGCCGACCUGAGAGGGGGAUCGGCCACACUGGAACUGAGACACGGUCCAGACCCCUACGGGAGGCAGCAGUAGGGAAUCUUCCGCAAUGGGCGAAAGCCUGACGGAGCAACGCCGCGUGAGUGAUGAAGGGCUUCGGAUCGUAAAACUCUGUUAUUAGGGAAGAACAAAUGUGUAAGUAACUAUGCACGUCUUGACGGUACCGAAUCAGAAAGCCACGGCUAACUACGU